ACCAGAGACAAAAUAGAUUGAAGGAAAUAAUAUGUACGAGGGUUAACAUGGUAAUCUAAAAAAAAAUAAAAGCAAAUUAAAAAUUAGAAAAAGAUGUGAAAACAUGGGAGAGCAGAAAAUGGAGCGGAGUAGGAGACGGAUUUCACGCCUUCACCCACGUUCAAUUUUAACCGCCCAUAGCGGUUUCGUACAAAGAGCGAGUGGAGGCCGCUGAUGAAAACAGAAGAGCAAUUGAGAAAUUGAACAAGGACACAGACCGGGGGUCAUGACCGAAACAGAAACAGAAAGACUUGAAAUAUACAAAGAUAAGGGGUUCAAACUUCAAACCAGGUGAGUCUUCUCUGGCCCAUAUGUUUGGUUUAGUUUGGUUUCUUAGAUAAGUUACCGGAAUUGAUGUUGAGAGAAUGGGUUUGAGCAAUAGUACAAUGGCCAGCAGUGGCUUAGUGAGUUCUCAUGUUUGAUAUUUUGAUCAUUAAUUCAUUAUUUAUUUUCCUGCUUUAUAAUCUUCUUCUAUAAACUUUGUUUCCUUUUACCAGGAUUGUUGUUUCGUUUUGGAUCAGAUUCUUUUCGUUUAAACUUCUCUAUAGUGCUUAAUUUUCUUGGUAUGGUUGCCUUUACCUCAUCUCUUGGUGCAUUGACAAUGUGGGAGGUAACUGCUCCUUUAAAUUUCUAUUUCAAUUUCAAUUGUCCCAUACGGUUUAUACAAAAGGAGGAAACCAGAUAACUAGCCCAGAGUAAGGAAUAAGUCUCUCUUGAAAACUUUGCACUAUUCUGUGAGUAAUUUGAUUUCAGGUGUGUUUUAGUUUCUUUCUUUUGUUCUCCUUUCAACUGAAUAUGUUCUCCAUUACACCAAUUUUUUUUUUUUUUUUUUUGUGUCAGUACUGUGGGUUAUGCAGAUAUAGUACGUUGUUGCUAUGUCAGGUGCUCCUUUUCCUUACCUUCUGUUUUGCUAACCAGAAAGGUGUGAAUAAGCAAACAUCAGUUUUGUUAUGUCUAUGGAAAAUAUAAGUUUAGGGAAAUUCUCUUCAGUUCACAGUAUUUUAUUUUUGUUUUUGUUUCUUUCUUUCUAUCCAAAAUCUUUUUCCAAGUAUGUAGAAUUUGCUGGUGAAAUUUGAUAUCGAUGAAAAGGAAAAUUUUCAUGUAUGUGGACAUGGUCAACAAAGAAUUUCAGUUUUAAUCUUUUGUGUUGCACUUUUAAUUGUGAUAAAAAGGAAAAACGAUCAUGAAAUCUUUUUUAAAGAAUUUGUUUGGAUAUCAAUUCAAAUAUGAAUCCAGUUGUCCUAGGAACUUGAAUCAACUGAAGCAUAAGGUUCAUUGAGUUUGGUUUCAUAGGUUAUUUAUUCUUUCUCUAUGAUUAGUUUAUUCAAUGCAUAUUUCUUUUGCUUGACUAAUUUUUUUUUACUAUUUUGCUGGUUAACAAAUCAGAAAAGAUAGAAGAAUGUGUGAGAACCCCUAAGUAGGGUACUGCAAUAUGAGUACUUUACACAUGUUUAGGAGUGGUUUAAUUUCAACUGCUUUUAGAAGAGCAAAUGGUGACCGAAGGGAAAACGAAGAGACCAGUUUAUGUUGUUUGAUCACUUUGAUCAAAUAUCACUCCUCCUUUAUGGUUAUGUUCUUGACGAUUGUGAAUUCCUUUUCACACUAAAAAUUGGACCCGCAAAGGAAGGUGAAAUAUUGUACCGUGGGUGAAAGGGCAACAGCCAAUGGUGCAGUAGUCAGUGAGUGAAAAAACACGAAGUUGAAAGUAAGAUCUCGGGAGGAUCAAGUAUGUGAAAAGUUGAGGCCUGGCCUUGAUUUUUGGUAGUUUAAUAAACUAAAAGUGCUUGAGUCUUUGAGAUGUUACAAUUGAACUGUGAAAGAUAUUAUCGAAUUGUCUCUACUUGAUAGAUUAGACAAUACAGAAAUGGACUUAUGUUCUUUUCAGCACGUUUUAUGUGUAUUCUGUUAACUGAUGGCAUUUGAUAUGUUCAUUGAAAUUCUUCUGUCAUAA